GAUGAACGCUGGCGGCGUGCUUAACACAUGCAAGUGAAGAGAAGUCGCGCACGUGUGUAUAACGUGUAUCCACCUGCCUAUCAGUGGGGGACAACAGGUGGAAACGACUUCUAAUACCGCAUAACUAAGCUGCGGAUUGCGUUGGAUUAGCUAGUGGGUGGGGUAACGGCCCACCAAGGCGAUGAUCCGUAGCCGGGCUGAGAGGAUGAUCAGCCACACUGGAACUGAGACACGGUCCAGACUCCUACGGGAGGCAGCAGUGGGGAAUAUUGCACAAUGGGCGCAAGCCUGAGACAGCCAUGCCGCGUGUAUGAAGAAGGCCUUCGGGUUGUAAAGUACUUUCAGCAGGGAGGCGUUACCCACAGAAGAAGCACCGGCUAACUCCGGCCAGCAGCCGCGGUAAUAC
rnacentral:rRNA from 1 species